AAAGAGCUUGCUCUUUUCAGAAUUGAGUGGCAAACGGGUGAGUAACACGUAAACAACCUGCCUUCAGGAUGGGGACAACAGACGGAAACGACUGCUAAUACCGCAUAAGCCCACGGUGCCGCAUGGCACAGAGGGAAAAGGAGCAAUCCGCUUUGAGAUGGCCUCGCGUCCGAUUAGCUAGUUGGUGAGGUAACGGCCCACCAAGGCGACGAUCGGUAGCCGGACUGAGAGGUUGAACGGCCACAUUGGGACUGAGACACGGCCCAGACUCC
rnacentral:rRNA from 1 species